AGAGUUUGAUCCUGGCUCAGAACGAACGCUGGCGGCAGGCUUAACACAUGCAAGUUGAACGGGAUUUGUAUGGUGCUUGCACCAUGUAAUGAGAGUAGCGCACUGGUGAGUAACACGUGGGAACAUACCUUGAAGUGGGGGACAACAGUUGGAAACGACUGCUAAUACCGCAUAAUCCCUGAGGGGGAAAGAUUUAUCGCUUUAAGAUUGGCCCGCGGAAGAUUAGGUAGUUGGUGGGGUAAAGGCCUACCAAGCCGACGAUCUAUAGCUGGUCUGAGAGGACGAACAGCCACAUUGGAACUGAGACACGGUCCAGACUCCUACGGGAGGCAGCAGUGAGGAAUAUUGGGCAAUGGAGGAAACUCUGACCCAGCCAUGCCGCGUGAGUGAAGAAGGUUUUCGAAUUGUAAAGCUCUUUCGGAUGGGACGAUGAUGACGGUACCAUCUAAAGAAGCCCCGGCAAACUUCGUGCCAGCAGCCGCGGUAAUACGAAGGGGGCAAGCGUUGUUCGGAAUUACUGGGCGUAAAGGGUGUGUAGGCGGAUUUGUAAGAUAGUGGUGAAAUACCUGAGCUCAACUUAGGAAUUGCCAUUAUAACUAUAGAUCUGGAGUGACAGAGAGGAUAUUGGAAUACCCAGUGUAGAGGUGAAAUUCGUAGAUAUUGGGUAGAACACCAGUGGCGAAGGCGAGUAUCUGGCUGUCAACUGACGCUGAGGCACGAAAGCAUGGGGAUCAAACAGGAUUAGAUACCCUGGUAGUCCAUGCUGUAAACGAUGAAUGCUAGUUGUCGGCAAAAGCCGGUGACGCAGUUAACGCGAUAAGCAUUCCGCCUGGGGAGUACGGUCGCAAGAUUAAAACUCAAAGGAAUUGACGGGGACCCGCACAAGCGGUGGAGCAUGUGGUUUAAUUCGAAGCAACGCGAAGAACCUUA
rnacentral:rRNA from 1 species